GCCUGAAUGGUGUAAUGGUUUGAGUUUUGAACUUCAACUCUAGAGAUCAGGGUUCAAUUCACUGCUUGGUUG